rnacentral:rRNA from 1 species
GACGAACGCUGGCGGCGUGCUUAACACAUGCAAGUCGAACGGAAAGGCCCUGCUUGCAGGGUACUCGAGUGGCGAACGGGUGAGUAACACGUGGGUGAUCUGCCCUGCACUUCGGGAUAAGCCUGGGCAACUGGGUCUAAUACCGGAUAGGAGCCAUUUUUUGUGUGAUGGUUGGAAAGUUUUUUCGGUGUAGGAUGAGCUCGCGGCCUAUCAGCUUGUUGGUGGGGUAAUGGCCUACCAAGGCGGCGACGGGUAGCCGGCCUGAGAGGGUGGGCGGCCACAUUGAGACUGGGAGACGGCCCAGACUCCGACGGGAGGCAGCAGGGGGGAAUAUUGCACAAUGGGCGCAAGCCGGAUGCAGCGACGCCGCGUGGUGGAUGACGGCCUUCGGGUUGAAAACUCCUUUCGCGAGGGACGAAGCUUUUUGUGACGGUACCUAGAUAAGAAGCACCGGCUAACUACGUG